rnacentral:sRNA from 1 species
ACCCUUUUUCCGAUUUAUUAUAUUUAUAGUCGUGUAGGGCAGAAUAAUCGAACAAUUUGCUUUCGUUUACGUUAAUUGUUAUAAUUUAAUUCUCGGUGUCUGCUGGCCAUAUUCCAUUGUUUAUAAGUUUUACUAAGGAUUGUGCAAGUAGAGGAGUCGAUUAAGCGUGCCAGGGAGGGCGUUUUGUUUAUUUUCGUGUCCAAUAUGAGGGUAUGGAAUGGCGUUUAAAUUAAGAAAUGAUGGCAAUCAAACUGCUAACACAGCUUUAAUGCGGGAAAGCGUUUUAGUUAUUUAUAAUUAUUAUUAAUGUUAUUAUUAUUGUUAUUUUAGUUUCUAAUUUUCAUUCAGUUAUAUUAAAUUAGUUUAUAUUGUUUGAUUACGUCAAUUUUGUGCUAUUUUGUUAUUUUCAUUUACAGCAUUAUUGGCCAGCAUAGAGGCCGCCAGAGUGGUCAUAAGUUCUGUGAGUUUGUCAAGUUUAUUUCCAAAAUUGAGGUUGCUUUGAGUAUAUAUCGCUAACAGGUUGAUGAUUUGUUCAAGUCUAGGAUCGGUAGUUGGCAUUUCAGCUGGUGGCAAGGCUUGCACCCGUCUGCAACUGAGACUGCGGCUUCUAUAAUGGGUAGUCAGCUGAUCCAAUGAGCGAUUUCGCAUCAGGCUGGCUUGUGCUCUAAUUGGGGCAGGUUGCCUGGAAGUUCGCUGUUUGCUGGCGUUUGCGUUUGAGUCGAUAGUAUUUGUUGGCUGUGUGGAAAUAGGGCCAGAGCGAAGAGCUGCUGAGUAGCUGCGAGCUGGGUUAGUUUUUUCAGCCGAGGGGGGAGAGGUCGAGGCUUGCUCUUGCCUCAGAUUGGCAUUAUUGGUUGUUGGCUCUUGAUUAAUUAAGUUGGGGACCGCUUUGCUCAGAUCAUUAAUGAAUUUAUUAAUUCUGACUGAGCUCUCACUUAUUUUUGCUUUACGGGCCUCUUUAUAAGCUAUGCAGCCUUUAUAACUUGCCGCAUGUGGG